CUUCUCUUACCCUCACCCCCUCCGCCUACCGAGCCCGGGGAGCGUGCGCGCGCCUGCGUCCUAGGCCUAGGGAGGGGGUGUGGGCGCGCUCAGCGUAUACGUGGGUGAUACGCCGAAGAGCGGAGAGGGGAGGGGGGCGGUAACCUGGGCGCCAGUGAGCACGCUACGGCGUACGGCCGACCCCCCACUGGGAUAACUACAAUUCCCGACAUGCAAUGCUUCCGGAAGCCCCUUCUCCUAUCAUCGAAAAGUGCUACAGAUGCGGGGAGAUGCGUGCCGGGAGUUGUAGUCCCAACUCCUGGCAACUUUCGGUUUGUGGCGGGGAAGGUCAUAAUGAGACCUGUUGGUGGCUUAGUUGGCCGCCGGACUCUUUAAAAUCCUUUGGCUGCUGCUGGACGCUUCAAAUUGAAUAAGUUUCUUCCACCGGCGAUUCCACAUCUUCUCUACCUUAUCUUCUUAGUUUCCUCACUUACAACGUGGAAGAGAAAUGGAUCAUUGGAUGCUGCUAAGCAGCCAGCGGGCCAGGACUCCUACGUUACGAUCUGGGCCUGUCCAUUUUGGCAGAAUGGAGCCUUAUUUUCCUCAUCUGUAAAAUGGAGAUAUUAGUUCCCAUCUCGGAGAAUGAUGGUCCAGCUGGCAUGAGAAUUUCAUGAGAUGGCUGAAUGUUAAUCAUCUUCACAAACAGAAGCCGUCAGGGUGGAAAGAGCAAGGUGGGAGGUUCCCUAGGCCUCUGCUGGAGGUGGACACAGUGCUGCAGCCCCACCCAGUCGGGUGGGCCAAGAGACAGGAAUGCUGCUCAGCACAGCUGGCCGGACAGGAGAGACUGUUUAUUCUCUGCUGUCGGGAACAUCCCAGACAAUCAGGGGGAUUUGGCCGCUGGCAACCCCUGGAUUUGAGGACUCCAAGAAGUCAGCUUAAUCAGAGCAGGCUGAUGGCCUGAGCUCUAAGAAGGCAGCAGAGGUGGAAGGGAGGGGCCACCCCUCCCUGCCCCACAUUCCAUGCCAUGUGCCUCUGAGCUCACCUCCUGGAUCUGCAGUGACAGGGCAGAAAGGUGAAUGGGGCUGAACCCAGCCUUUUAAUCAUGCAGCCAUCAGGAGAGACUUCCUACAGUCCGACUCCCAGCAUCCCAGGUGCCCCCUGCUUAUGAGACAUGUCAGAGCUAACGGCCUUAGCCUAGGAAGGGAGGUCAUUUUGCAUCCCCCAGACCCGUUCCAACCUCCCUGUGCUACCAGCCCAGAUCCUUUCUGCUCAGGCAGUCCCUCUGGCUUCCGCCUUGUACUUGCCUGCCUUUCUUAUUAUUCCAGCUCCAGAGUCAGCUUUGGUGCUGCCUCUUCCAGGCCCUCUCACCUUGGGCAAGUCACCUCUCCAGGCCUGAUUCUUCUGUAAAAUAAAGAUUACAGUAUCCAUCUCACAAGGACAUUUUGAAGAUUAAAUGAGAGAAUUCUUUCAAUAGGCCCACCAUGCAGGAGGCACUUGAUAAAUGGUAGUGCCUUUCUCUCCCAUUCUUUCUAUUGGUGCAGACCUCACCUCUGGUAUUCCUGAGGGCCAGGCCUCUCUGGUGUAGCUUAUAACAUGUGCCCGGUCACAUCUCUACCUAUUGCUGCUCCCAGAUCUCAGAGUGCUUUGGGGUUCCGUAGCACUCUGUAGAAGAGUCCAAGUUGACCCAAGGAGGCAUUUUGAUGCCAAGGCUCUAGAAGGUCCCAGAACAUGGUGGGGUUUUUUUUGUUUUGUUUUAGGUGUUUUUUGUUUUUUGUGGGGUUUUUUGGUGUGUUUUGCCCAUCUCUCAUUUUGCAUAGGCUUGAGUGCCUUGUCUAAGGAGGUCAGGAAAAAUUCAUCAAUCCUGACUCAUUUGUUUGGAAUUCAUCUUUCUAUAUAUUUAAUAAAGAGUUUAUACCAAAAAUAAUGAAAUUCCAGGAUGGCAAAGAGUAUCAGUUAAGGACCCCUCCUCACUGUAUCUCCCACAAGUUCCAAUUUAAACUCUUAAAUAAAAAAGGAGUCUAUUGGUUGGUUA